rnacentral:pre_miRNA from 1 species
GAAGUACUCCCUCCGUCCGGAAAAGCUUGUCCCUCAAAUGGAUGUAUCUAACACUAACUUGGUGCUAGAUACAUCCAUUUGAGGGACAAAUUUUUCCGGACGGAGGGAGUAGGAA